UACGUAGGGUGCGAGCGUUAAUCGGAAUUGCUGGGCGUAAAGCGUGCGCAGGCGGUUUUGUAAGUCUGACGUGAAAUCCCCGGGCUUAACCUGGGAAUUGCGUUGGAGACUGCAAGGCUGGAGUCUGGCAGAGGGGGGUAGAAUUCCACGUGUAGCAGUGAAAUGCGUAGAGAUGUGGAGGAACACCGAUGGCGAAGGCAGCCCCCUGGGUCAAGACUGACGCUCAUGCACGAAAGCGUGGGGAGCAAACAGG
rnacentral:rRNA from 1 species